rnacentral:rRNA from 1 species
UCAAGUGAAGAAGCGCAUACGGUGGAUGCCUUGGCAGUCAGAGGCGAUGAAAGACGUGGUAGCCUGCGAUAAGCUUCGGGGAGUCGGCAAACAGACUUUGAUCCGGAGAUCUCUGAAUGGGGGAACCCACUCAGCACAAGCUGAGUAUCUUGUACUGAAUACAUAGGUGCAAGAGGCGAACCAGGGGAACUGAAACAUCUAAGUACCCUGAGGAAUAGAAAUCAACCGAGAUUCCCUUAGUAGUGGCGAGCGAACGGGGACCAGCCCUUAAGUUGGUUUGAGAUUAGUGGAACGCUCUGGAAAGUGCGGCCGUAGUGGGUGAUAGCCCCGUACAUGAAAAUCUCUUAUCAAUGAAAUCGAGUAGGACGGAGCACGAGAAACUUUGUCUGAAUAUGGGGGGACCAUCCUCCAAGGCUAAAUACUACUGACUGACCGAUAGUGAACUAGUACCGUGAGGGAAAGGCGAAAAGAACCCCGGAGAGGGGAGUGAAAUAGAUCCUGAAACCGUAUGCGUACAAGCAGUGGGAGCAGACUUGUUCUGUGACUGCGUACCUUUUGUAUAAUGGGUCAGCGACUUAUAUUCAGUGGCGAGCUUAACCGAAUAGGGGAGGCGUAGCGAAAGCGAGUCUUAAUAGGGCGUUUAGUCGCUGGGUAUAGACCCGAAACCGGGCGAUCUAUCCAUGGGCAGGUUGAAGGUUAGGUAACACUGACUGGAGGACCGAACCGACUACCGUUGAAAAGUUAGCGGAUGACCUGUGGAUCGGAGUGAAAGGCUAAUCAAGCUCGGAGAUAGCUGGUUCUCCUCGAAAGCUAUUUAGGUAGCGCCUCAUGUAUCACUGUAGGGGGUAGAGCACUGUUUCGGCUAGGGGGUCAUCCCGACUUACCAAACCGAUGCAAACUCCGAAUACCUACAAGUGCCGAGCAUGGGAGACACACGGCGGGUGCUAACGUCCGUCGUGAAAAGGGAAACAACCCAGACCGUCAGCUAAGGUCCCAAAGUCAUGGUUAAGUGGGAAACGAUGUGGGAAGGCUUAGACAGCUAGGAGGUUGGCUUAGAAGCAGCCACCCUUUAAAGAAAGCGUAAUAGCUCACUAGUCGAGUCGGCCUGCGCGGAAGAUGUAACGGGGCUCAAACCAUGCACCGAAGCUACGGGUAUCAUCCUUUGGAUGAUGCGGUAGAGGAGCGUUCUGUAAGCCUGUGAAGGUGAGUUGAGAAGCUUGCUGGAGGUAUCAGAAGUGCGAAUGCUGACAUGAGUAACGACAAUGCGAGUGAAAAACUCGCACGCCGAAAGACCAAGGUUUCCUGCGCAACGUUAAUCGACGCAGGGUUAGUCGGUCCCUAAGGCGAGGCUGAAAAGCGUAGUCGAUGGAAAACAGGUUAAUAUUCCUGUACUUCCGGUUAUUGCGAUGGAGGGACGGAGAAGGCUAGGCCAGCUUGGCGUUGGUAGUCCAAGUUUAAGGUGGUAGGCUGGGAUCUUAGGUAAAUCCGGGGUCCCCAGGCCGAGAGCUGAUGACGAGUUGCCUUUGGGCGACGAAGUGGUUGAUGCCAUGCUUCCAAGAAAAGCUUCUAAGCUUCAGAUAACCGGGAACCGUACCCCAAACCGACACAGGUGGUUAGGUAGAGAAUACCAAGGCGCUUGAGAGAACUCGGGUGAAGGAACUAGGCAAAAUGGCACCGUAACUUCGGGAGAAGGUGCGCCGGUGAGGGUGAAGGACUUGCUCCGUAAGCCCACGCCGGUCGAAGAUACCAGGCCGCUGCGACUGUUUAUUAAAAACACAGCACUCUGCAAACACGAAAGUGGACGUAUAGGGUGUGACGCCUGCCCGGUGCCGGAAGGUUAAUUGAUGGGGUUAGCUAACGCGAAGCUCUUGAUCGAAGCCCCGGUAAACGGCGGCCGUAACUAUAACGGUCCUAAGGUAGCGAAAUUCCUUGUCGGGUAAGUUCCGACCUGCACGAAUGGCGUAACGAUGGCGGCGCUGUCUCCACCCGAGACUCAGUGAAAUUGAAAUCGCUGUGAAGAUGCAGUGUAUCCGCGGCUAGACGGAAAGACCCCGUGAACCUUUACUAUAGCUUUGCA